rnacentral:rRNA from 1 species
AUUGAACGCUGGCGGCAGGCCUAACACAUGCAAGUCGAGCGAGCGGAGGACGGGUGAGUAAUACCCGGAAUAAUGCUUGACGGCAGGGGAUAACUACUGGAGGAGGUAGCUAAUAAUGCCUACCAUCAGCUGUGACCAUAUGGGAUUAGCUAGAAGGUGGGGUAACGGAUCACCUAGGCGACGAACCCUAGCUGGUCUGAGAGGAUGACCAGCCACACUGGAACUGAGACACGGUCCAGACUCCUACGGGAGGCAGCAGUUGGGAAUAUUGCACAAUGGGCGAAAGCCUGAUGCAGCCAUGCCGCGUGUGUGAAGAAGGCCUUCGGGUUGUAAAGCACUUUCAGCGGGGAGGCGUUACCCGCAGAAUAAGCACCGGCUAACUCCGUGCCAGCAGCCGCGGUAAUUC